ACCCUCCUUUAGGUUUUCACUCCAACCCUGUUCCUGGAGAGCUACCCUCCUGUAGGUUUUCACUCCAACCCUGUUCCUGGAGAGCUACCCUCCUUUAGGUUUUCACUCCAACCCUGUUCCUGGAGAGCUACCCUCCUGUAGGUUUUCACUCCAACCCUGUUCCUGGAGAGCUACCCUCCUUUAGGUUUUCACUCCAACCCUGUUCCUGGAGAGCUACCCUCCUGUAGGUUUUCACUCCAACCCUGUUCCUGGAGAGCUACCCUCCUUUAGGUUUUCACUCCAACCCUGUUCCUGGAGAGCUACCCUCCUGUAGGUUUUCACUCCAACCCUGUUCCUGGAGAGCUACCCUCCUGUAGGUUUUCACUCCAACCCUGUUCCUGGAGAGCUACCCUCCUGUAGGUGUUCACUCCAACCCUGUUCCUGGAGAGCUACCCUCCUGUAGGUUUUCACUCCAACCCUGUUCCUGGAGAACUACCCUCCUUUAGGUUUUCACUCCAACCCUGUUCCUGGAGAGCUACCCUCCUGUAGGUUUUCACUCCAACCCUGUUCCUGGAGAGCUACCCUCCUGUAGGUUUCACUCCAACCCUGUUCCUGGAGAGCUACCCUCCUUUAGGUUUACACUCCA